rnacentral:lncRNA from 1 species
AUAAAGCGAUGGGAUAGAAAAGCAGGGCCAUAUUUUUCAUAUUGAAAUUUAUAACCACACUUUUAUACAAAACACAAACCAUAACACAUCACAACUUUUUAUUCUAAAAUCUAUUCACAUCAAAAUAGAGAUCUCAAAAGAAGACAGAAACUUAGAUAAACUAGGCCGUACUCAAGGCCUCUCUCAGAAUUGUCUUCUUCUUCCAAAAAUCCUUUUCUUCAGAUCUCACCUCUGAGUUCUCCUUCUCGGAUUCCUCCUCCUCAGCUCUUCAGCGGGGUCCUGAAAUGGUUUCCCCAACUGGGAUGAGACUACGUCUCAGCGAGUUCUACCCCACUAAGCCCGAUUAGAAAACUAUUAUACUAAAGGCUGCCUAAACACGCAUAGGGCAGAGGACUUACCUUGCCCUCUGAUCCUACCUGCAAGUCAGUACAAUUCACAAUAAACAGCCAUUCGCUUCCAACAAAUCGAACUAGUCGAUUACAUGUCAUACAAUUCAAUAUCCCCACUGUGAGAUAUUUAAAAGCUAGGCCACGUGUAUUCUCCAGGACGACCUUCCAAGUCUCCGAGUUCACGUGCCUUGAACCUUGGGCCCACGUGCAUUCUCUCAGGCGACCUUUUCGCCAAAGUGAUGCAUCAAGUCACCGAGACCACGUGCCCUUUUAGAUGCCCGGGCCCACGUGCAUUCUCUUAGGUGCAUCUCACCAAAGCGAUGCAUCAAUUCGCCGAGACCACGUGCCCUUUUAGAUGCCAUUCCGGAAUGCUGGACCCACGUGCAUUCUCUAAGGUGCAUCUCACCAAAGCGAUGCAUCAAUUCGCCGAGACCACGUGUCCUUUUAGAUGCCAAAUCCUGUCACCGAGCCACGUGCAUUCUCCCGGACGACAUACCGAGUCUCCGAGCCACGUGCAUUCUCUCAGGCGACCUUUUCGCCAAGGUGACAUAUUCAACCACUGAACUCACGUGCAUUUUCCCAGGUGACACUCCAAUUCACCGAGCCACGUGUCCUCUUUGCAGUGAUUACCAAUUCACUUUCAAUAUCGACAACCAAUGCCCAACGAUUCUCAAUCAAAUAAUUAAAUCAACUCCACAAAGCAUUAUAAUUACUGAAUAACAUACUUGGCCAUUUACCAAUCAACAAUUCAAUCGCAAUCAAUUCCAAUCAAUUUAGGGUAAAUCCCUAAAAUAUCACAAUUUAUUCAAUUCCAAACAACGUAGAGCUCAAAUAAAUAAACGAACUGCGCCACGACGAUCGGCACGAGAUUUCGGUCGUCGGCCAUCAAAAUCUUAAUUUCCGAAAAAUAAUUAAUUAAAUAAUUAAUUUCGAAAAUUAAAUAAUAAUUAUUAAAAAAAUUCAAUUUAGCUCAAAAUACAGCCCGAUUAAAUAAACGGACUUCACCACGCUCAUCAGCAUAAUUUUCCGGUUCCAGAUCAUCUCAGUUGAAUUUUCGGAAAAUAAUUAAUUAAUUAAUUAAUUUCGAAUAUUAAAUAAUUAAUAUUAAAAAUCCCAUUUAGCUCAAAUUAAAGCCCGAUUAAAUAAACGGACUUCACCACAGUCAUCCUCAUAAUAUUCCGAUUCCGAACCAUCUCCCUUGAAUUUUCGGAAAAUAAAUAAUUAUUUAAUUAAAUUUCGAAAUUUAAUAUUUAAAUACUAAAAAAAUAUCCACUUAGGCCCGAAAAGCCUAAUUGGAGCCCACUAAGGGUCGGGAAAAUUCCCGAAGCACUUCCAAUAAUUAGUAGACCACGUCCACUUGCUAAUUGCACAAUCAAUUUAUCUAAAUCACAUCACAAUUAACUAAUAAUUGCUAAUUUAUUCUAAUCUAACAACCUAAACAUAAUUAAUUAAAUCUAAACCAGCUUAAAGCAUAAUUAGCCACUAAUCAUGGAUUAGUGAGAUUACUCACCAAAUCGCGCGCAAAUCGGAUCAAUCCGACGGCGGCGACGCGAGGAACGAUUGUUCCCAAAGCACGGCUCGGGUUCGGGGCCGGGAAACGGCCCAAAAGCGGGCCCGAAGUGCUGGAAACCCACUUCGUGGGUCUGCUGGUCGCGGCUGAACAGAGCAACUCCGGCGGCUAGGGUGGCGGGGGAAGGCCGGCGGAGGGCAAGGGGGAUGAGGGGGAGGUCCGGCGAGGUUAGGCGGUGGCCAGAGGUGGCCGGACGGUGGCUGGUCGGUGCUGGAACAGGGGCGAACAGCAGCUGGUUCGCUCGGCUUGGGCGCGCGCGGGCGGCGGGACGGCGGCGGGCACACGAGCACGGCGCGGCGGUGCGACGGUGCGGCGGUGGGACGAGCGGCGAGGGUUUCUCGGCGAGCUGCUGUCUCCGAGCUCCUGGUUCGCACGCAAAGAAGAAAGAAGAACAGAGGGGUUCGGUUGCGUGGGGGAAGAAAGAAGAGAGAGG